CUCCUACGGGAGGCAGCAGUGGGGAAUAUUGGACAAUGGGCGAAAGCCUGAUCCAGCCAUGCCGCGUGUGUGAAGAAGGUCUUCGGAUUGUAAAGCACUUUAAGUUGGGAGGAAGGGCAGUAAGUUAAUACCUUGCUGAUUUGACGUUACCAACAGAGAUA
rnacentral:rRNA from 1 species